rnacentral:lncRNA from 1 species
GUAAAAUGAGAUGCCAGGUAUUGAGGGCUAGAUUGUACAUGGCAAAGAUUAAUUUGUUAUGGUGAAGCCAAAGCUUUAGUGUUUGAGUCAUUGGGUGUCAUCUUUGUUAACUUAUUAUUAAGCAUAUCAACUAUGUAUUUUGUCCCACAUAAAUGAGAAAAACUCUGCUUUUUUGACAUCAUGACUCAUUGUCAUGUCUAAAUAUUUGAAUUUCAUAUUGAUGUUUUGAUCGUGGAUGCCAAAACAUCACAGUUUGCCUGAUAGAGUUAAUUCCAUUAUAAAAUGAAGCUCCUUCCAUCAAUUAGAUAGCUUUUAUUAAUUUGAUUUUUCUAUUUUGAAUAUACAUAUUGGUUAUUUGGAUGCUUUCGUUUGAAAAUUUGCAUAGAUCAAUGAGGAUUCAGGCGGCGGGGAGGGGACUGGUGAUAGGAAACAUGGGUCCAAGAAGAAAUCAAAGAGCAUGGUGACUUGUUCUCCCUUUUCAAAUUUAAAACCUAGACUAGAAUCGGUCAAUUGUAAUUUGGCAAUAUGAUUAGGAUAGCAUAAUAUUCUGCUAAUAGCUUCACGAGGUAAUUAUGUCAUCUAUAUAUGUGUUUGUUUUUUACUGUAGUGAGAUCACUUAUUUUAAUUUAGAAAAUAGAAACAUGAAGUGUUGUUAUAAGAAUCUAAUAGCAGAUGUUCUUAGCAUGAACAUGCUUUGUAAUGUACCUACUGACUAAUAGCACAAUCAUGACUUGGCAUGCCCGGUUUUACUUUACGAAGAGUAGUAUGUGGUGCUCUAAUAUUCAACCGUGUUCUUGAAUUGGGAAUUAUGUUUAUAAUAGUUAAAGUGCUUGUGUGUUGGUCUGAUGUAUAUAAGCAAAAGAAAAUAAAAAACGGAUGGAAGAAGGGAACUUCUUGCUUUUCUUUUCCUUUUGUUUCUCUGUUUGAUAAUUACUCCCUAUGAUGGGUAGGUUUGAGAAUAGGAAACGUCCUACUCUUUGAUCCCUUUUUGUGUGAAUGGCUCGAUGGCAAGGGUGGCUAUCUGCUCCUCGCUCUAUUGGUUGUGUCUCUGUCUUCCCCGUGUGAUGCGCCACACGCCUAUUUUUGUUGCUGCUGCGUUUAUGGUGUGUGCGCGUGCGCGUGCGUGCGUGCGUGUCUGUGUUGUGAUUGCGUGCAUGGGUGUGUGUCUGUGUUGGGAUGUGCAUAUGAGCAUGAUUUGUUCUGCCACUUUAGGCGUUACCACAUCUAUAAUACCAUUUUCUAAUAUCUGAUAGUUGUAUUGGCUGCGCCUAGCUUUUGGGAUAUAAUUUCGAAGGGUAUUCUUCCCAUAUGAUCAGUUCUGCGGCCUGCACUCAUUUUUACUGCCAUGAAUGGUGUUUAAGUCUCCCUCUCUCUUUCUCACUCUCUGUGUGUGCCACUCUCUCUGAGAUUUGAAGUUAUUAUUUCCUGUUAUCAAUCAUGGGGAUGUUACGAUUUUUAUUUAUUUGUGUGGUGGCCAAUAAAAUCUGACAAAAAGUUGUUAUCCACCUCCUUCCAUGAUGGCAAACCUCCAACUAUUGUUUCUUUUCCGGUAGGAUAUGCAUUCGAUCCAUUCCAUGUCUUGGCCUCUUUUUGACAUGUGUAUUUCUAUGUUCUUCUUCCAGGUAUUGUUCAAUCCACCAGUAGCUAGCGGAUGUCGUGCUGUAAUUAAGGUUUGCCACCUUCCUCUGCUACAUCGCUUAGUUUUAUGGGCCAUUCUUAGAAUACUAUGUGCUUGCUCUUUUUGGCCAUGACAUGUGAAUCUGAUGCUUACCAACAUUAGUGUAGAAUUUGUUUCUUGGUGAUCUAAAACUUAUAGCUAUUAAAGGAAGCCCUUGGUUUGUAUUAGGUACUUGUGACAUUUGGUGGAACUGUAUGGCAAAUAGUGAGAGAAUAGAUAUUACCAAUGAUGUACACAGAGAGAAGGUACUCACAUGUCACAUCAUAUUCCCUCACGCUCCUCUUCUCGAUUGCAAAACUUAAUAUUAGUUCAAGCUUCUUUUUUUAUGUCGUCAACAAUGUCAAUUGGUGCAACAGGUGUCACAACAUGCAGGUUCUUUAAAAAAAUAAGAUGAUAAUUUAUUUAAACAUGAUAGUAUAUUACCUACUUUAAAUCCUCCAAUAUAAUGAUCGACAUUAAUAGCGUAAACAUCCACUCACAAGUAGUUUCAACAGAAGUGUUAUGAGCUGCAAAGUAAAUGAAUAGAGUAUUAAACCAGACAAACUGGAAAAGCAAAUUCUUCACACAAUAAAUUUUAUCAUACAAGCAAUUGAAACAACAGACAUAAGCGAUUCCAAGAUACAGACUUUCCCCAAUGCUUCUUAACAACAUCAAUUGCUUUUCCUUACUCGUCUGCCCUAUGAAACUGAGUAUGUCUAAAUUGGGUUCGAAGUUACACAGACAGAUGUAAGGAACUGAUAAAUUUACCAAGACAGGGUUCAGCGAGGUCAAGAUCAUACACCUUAUGUGUGAACAACAUAGGGUCCCAUGCAAUCUCAAGAUCAUGUGAAUUCAUCUGUCCAUGUCCGCCACAACUCCCGCAGUGCCAUGCAUCUUGCUGCACCAAGCACGAGCGGAUCCAGGCCACUUAAAAAGGACAUAGUGGCAUGGCGACGGUGGAUUUUUCUUAUCAGAAGUUCAAAACUAUGCAGAUAACUCAGCAACCACACACCUAUGUCCCCAACCUGCAUAUAUGCCUUUUUUUAUUAGGAAUUAUAUAUAGACAAACUAUAUGAGGCUUCUUUUUUAUUAGGAACUAUAUGGUCCCCAAUCGCAUGUUUGAGAAAGUUUCGCAUUAACAACCUAGCUAUAAUGUGUACAGAUGAUAUAAUACUAUGAAAAGACAAAAUGGUACCUGGUUGAGAAAAUUGUUUAUUUAGAUGCCUAAAACAAACAAACAAAAACAAGUGAUAGAAUCCUAACCGUAUAUUCACUUGCAAGAUGAGGCUUGUAGAGAUCGUAAACAUGAGUCAUGUGAGAAGCUCUAUAUAUUUGCUUUCAAAAGAAAUAGAUGCAUUUGGACCAAUAAGCAUAGCAACUACAACAGCUCCACCCAUAGGCCGAGCUGGUCCCUUUGCAUAAACCUGGACAUAAUAUGGAAUAUCAAAUGAGUGUUGCACGGAGAUAAAAGGAAGAGAAACUGAAUCCACUUAGUGCAACAGUUAGAUGGCCAUAUUGGGUGACUAACCGUGCUAUCCGUGCAGGCUACAAGGCCGUAACGUUCAUCCGAACAUCGACUUUCAACCGAAGUCACACCAAUUCAAGAGGGAAGUUGUUCCACCAUAACAUGCAUUACUGGAGUCAAACUCCCUCAAUGUCAGUAAUACCACUUUCCUGUAUUUGUGACAAGUGUCAACA